rnacentral:lncRNA from 1 species
AUGCAAUCAUUCACUCCGCCGUCACCGUUGUCCCUGACGGGAAACCUUGCAGAAAAUUGGCGAAGAUGGGAGCAAAGAUUGCGCCUCUAUCUCUUGGCUAGUGGACUUAAUGACAAAGCAGAAGGUCGGAAAAUAGCCGUGCUGCUACACUGCAUUGGUGAGGAUGCGUUGGAGAUCAACAACACGCUGGAAAUUACCUAUGAAGAUAACGACAACAAAACAAUGGACGAGGUAAUACAAGCUUUUGAAAAUUACUGUGCACCACGUAGGAACACUGUUUUUGAAAGGCACCAAUUCUGGGCACAUCAGUUUCAUGAACAUACUGGCAUUGACAAGUUUGUCACGGAAUUGAGACAGAGAGCAUGCACUUGUGAGUUCAAAGACACUGAGGAUUUAAUGCUCAGGGACAAAAUUGUGUUCAGUGUUUCGGAUGCACGUCUCAGGGAGAAACUGUUAAUUGUCUCAGACUUAUCUCUAACCAAAGCCAUCGACAUAUGCCGCACCAAGGAAGUUACACAGGCUCAGGCCAAAGUCAUGGCGGCUAGUGGUAGCACAGAGCAAGAGGUGCUUGCAAUAGAGAAACGUGGGUGGCAACGCCAGACAUCAAGAUCGCGUGCGAGCCCGACCAGUGAACAGCAGGAGAAGACAUGCGACAGAUGUGGCAGAAUGCACAAGCCCAGGAACUGUCCCGCGUUCAAUGUGGAAUGUAGAAAAUGCGGCAAGAGAAACCAUUUUGCAGCCGUGUGCCGAUCAGCAUCUGAUGUUGCACCCAUUGAUACAGAAAGCAUGGGUGUGGAUGCACUGUUCAUUGGUGCUGUCACACGAGCACAGGCUCGCUCUAAAGACACUGGGUGGCGCACAUCGCUCCGAGUGGGUGGGCAAACGGUCAACUUCAAGCUUGACAUAGGGGCUGAAGCCAACGUGCUGCCACAAUCAAUAGCAAAUAUAAUGCCCAAGCAACAUACACUGAAGAAGACAAACACUGUACUGGUAGCCUAUGGCGGCACCCGCAUCAAGCCCAAGGGUAUACUCACGUUGCAUGUGAACUCCCAACACAAGCAGGCCCUCCUACACUUCUAUGUGACUGACACAUCCGACACGCCACUGCUUGGCAGAGAUGCUUGUGUGAGACUUGAUCUCGUCAGAAAAGUAGAGACAUUAACACGGCAAACUCCACCCCGGACCAAAGAGGAGCUGCUCCAGCGCUAUCCCGACGUGUUCCAGGGACUGGGUGAAUUUCCAGGCAUACACCACAUCCAUGUUGGUUCAAAGGUGCCCCCUGUUGUCCAUGGAUGCAGGAAGAUCCCAUUUGCUGUGCUGGAUAGGCUAAAAGACACACUGGCCGUUCAAGAACAGAGAGGUGUGUGUCGCAAGGUAACAAAGCCAACACCAUGGGUGAGCAGCCUCGUUAUAACUGAAAAGAAAAAUGGUACCUUACGGGUGUGUUUGGACCCGAGGGACCUCAACAAAGCAGUGCUUCGCCAACACUACUCCAUACCCACACCCGAGGAUGUACAAUGCCAGUUAGCAGGAAAGACUGUGUUUACAAUUCUUGAUGAAAAGGAUGGGUAUUGGCAAAUAAAGCUUGAUGAUGAGUCAGCUGACCUGUGCACGUUCAACACCCCCUGGGGGCGCUACCAGUUUACGCGCCUGCCGUUUGGGAUUAAAAGUUCAAGUGAGGUGUUUCAGCAAACGAAUACUGAAAGUUUUGUUGACAUUGCUGGAGUCCACAUUAUUGCAGAUGACAUGAUAAUUGCAGCAGCCACAAAGGAAGAACAUGAUAACAUCCUACAACAGGUGAUGGACAGAGCUGUCAAGCUGAAUGUGAAAUUCAAUGCUGACAAAAUCCAGUACAUUGUGAGUGAAGUGAAGUACAUGGGGCACAUCAUCAGCGCAGAAGGAGUCAGACCAGAUAACGCCAAAGUGGCAGCAAUAACAGCAAUGCCUCCACCUGGAGACAAAAAGGGUCUACAGAGG